ACUUAAAUAGCUUAAAAAGAGCAUAAUAUUGAAGAUAUUAAGGUAAUAAAUUUAUUUUUAAGUA
rnacentral:tRNA from 1 species